UACGGGGGGGGCAAGCGUUGUUCGGAAUUACUGGGCGUAAAGGGCUCGUAGGCGGCCAACUAAGUCAGACGUGAAAUCCCUCGGCUUAACCGGGGAACUGCGUCUGAUACUGGAUGGCUAGAGUCCUGGAGAGGAAGGUGGAAUGCUUGGUGUAGAGGUGAAAUUCGUAGAUAUCAAGCGGAACACCGGUGGCGAAGGCGGCCUUCUGGACAGUGACUGACGCUGAGACGCGAAAGCGUGGGGAGCAAACAGG
rnacentral:rRNA from 1 species